UACGGAGGGGGCUAGCGUUGUUCGGAAUUACUGGGCGUAAAGCGCACGUAGGCGGAUCAGCAAGUUAGGGGUGAAAUCCCGGGGCUCAACCCCGGAACUGCCUUUAAAACUGUUGGUCUGGAGGUCGAGAGAGGUGAGUGGAAUUCCGAGUGUAGAGGUGAAAUUCGUAGAUAUUCGGAGGAACACCAGCGGCGAAGGCGGCUCACUGGCUCGAUACUGACGCUGAGGUGCGAAAGCGUGGGGAGCAAACAGG
rnacentral:rRNA from 1 species